rnacentral:misc_RNA from 1 species
AGAGGUGUGCGCCCACGCAUCAGGUCCAAGGAAACUGCGCUGACAUACAACGCGCAAGCCCAAGAGGAAUACGCGUAUUGCAAGGAGGACACACACGCAAGGGAGAGAAACGCAAAGGAGAAGUGACGCCUUAGCGCCACUUUUUCUCUUUCUCUUGCGCGUCACGUCAAGCAACUUACGGCUAUCAGCAGGGGCCUCCGAGGAAAGCAACCCCUCUCCCUCCUCACACACGCACUCUCUAGCGUGCACAUACGUCUGUUUCUCUCGCAGGCGUAGACGGCUGUUAUGGGCGCCCGUGCGUGAGCUUGCACCUCCCCUAUUCUACGCUCGGUACCUUUGAUUAGCGCAGUAACCCUUGAAUUGUGCAAGAUUAAGGCAGCGAGUGGAGAGCGCGCACAGCACUUCCCUCUUCCUGUCUCUUUUAGGUAGUUACGUGUGCCGCAUGCCACCUUCGGUUUCGUGUGCGUCGCACAACAACAGCAGAAUCGCCUCCGCGCAAGCGUUGGGAGAAGGCCGUUUUGAUAGUAGUCUAGCGUCCACACUAGCAUCUCUUUGAUUGUUUUUUUUUCCCUUUCCCGUCCUGACCACACGCCUCCCGUGCUCAUCUCCGUUGUAAACGCUUCGUUUGCGUCCUGCUGUGUGGCGUGCUCUGUGGCCACAGUGCGGCCGUGAGGUGGCCUCUUCGUGUGCUUUCUUGCGUUGUAUCUCUGUGCCUUUUUGCUUUGCUUUGCGGAGCCUCCGUUGCGUGUCCGCACCGCGAGACGAUGGAGCAGUUUGUGCAACCGUUAGAGGGCAUCUUCCGAGACGGCAUCCCUGCCCCUGUGCUGCGCGCCUUUGCUCCUCUCUUCCAGGCACUGCCGAGCCUUCAGGAACGCGUAGAGGCAUCUCGCGACUGCUAUUACUGGCGGGCAAACCCCAUGAAGUGCCUGGAGGAGGACAUAGACACGGUGACCGGCUUCAUGCAAGCCUGCGAAGCUUCCUUUCGGAUGUGCCCGCAGCAGUCGGCGACGCUGCUCAAGUGCCACAUGACGGAGCCGGCGCGUGCCGUCUACUUCUGCCGUGAUGAAGAGUGGGAGUGGCGCAGCUGCUUGAUGGAUCAGACCGGCAUCCGCUUCUGGCCGUACGCGAAUGCCCCGAUCGGCGCGCCGUGGUCGAACGGUGGGCAGACAGAGGAUUUUCAUCUGGAAGAUCGCUUCUUCUACGAGAACUUCUCUUUCUGGCGUCGUCGCGGGGCGAUGCUGGCGGUGCGCGAGCGUGAGCUAGAGGUGGCGGCGCAGCGCAAGCACUGGCUGGACGAGCAGACGGACGAUACCUCCCUAGCGGCACCGAAGCCGACCAUAGCGCCCGUCGGCAUCAGCACCAAGAUCAACUAGAACGGUGUGGGUGUGAUGAUGGUCGAGCCGAUGGAGCUGGACCACCAAGUUGGCAACCGAACCACACCACAAAUACACGCUUCAACACAGCGACGUAAAGGAGGAAGGAGAAAAGAUCAGGGCCGCACAUGCAGCACUGCCGGGUGCGCUGUCGAUUGAACUACCCCGUGUGUGGGACGCGUCCAUGGCGCUCUUUGCAUGCUGCCUCUGUCGUGCUUGCUCUCUCUCUGCGUUGUUUUUGUUCAGGUAGGUGCGUCUGGCGGUCACUCCUCUUUAUCUUCCGUUGAGCAGUCGUGCGUGUCUGCGCGUGUGCCGGUUGGGUGUAUCGUCUCUUUUCUCAUGUUCAUCUUCCUGUGUGCUCUUCGCAUUGCCCGCCUCCCCCUUUGUUGCUGUCUCGCCACCCCGUCUCUCAGUGCGCGCUUCUCCAGAGCCGCGGAAAAAGAAGCCAGCGACGGCAGCAGCAGCAGCAGCAGCAGCAGCAGCAGCAGCAGCAGCAGCAGCAGCAGCAGCAGCAGCAUGGGUGGUGGUGGUGGUAGUGGCGGCCACCGUAUUCGGACUAUCAACACGUUCACCCAACAGGCCUACCCGCGCGCCACACGUGCAUGCGUCGCGGAGGGAAAAGCGUGCGUCUGCCUAGCGCCGAUACGGCGGAGGGAGCGCCAGUGGUGUGCACAAACACCGCCCCCCUCCCUGCGCCUCCUCAUCCUCCUCUGAGUAGCAACAGAUGCGUGCCGUUAACUGUGCGUGUGUGCCCACUCAAGGUGGGACGCCCUGCGUAG